AUGGCGGUGUGCGCGGAGCUGAACCAGCUGCAGCACAUCGAGCCCUCCCGCUUCAUCUCCUUCUCCUUCCCCAACCCUUUCCUCCACGACGCCUCCAACCCUUACAGCGACGCCGACGACCACGCGGAGUUCCUCCGGGUGGCCGUUGUCGACUCCCCUGCCCCCGCGGCGCCAUCCCCGACCGCGCCGAGGACGGCGGCGAUGCUCGUCCCGGCCGGCCGGCACCGGGACUGGAUCUUCUCCACCCGCGCCGGGCAGCUCCACCUCCUCCUCUCCUCCCGAUCCCAGUGCACAAUCUCUCGCCUUAUACUCGUCGGCCCAGAGAUCCCCACUCCCUCCCCUCGGGUCGUUUGCUCCGCCGCCGCUCGCCCGGACCCGGAUCCUGCUCGCGCGCGGCUCCUCCCCCUCCUCCUGGCCCUCUGCCCCAGGGCUGCGUUUGGCAACGGUGCCAUCCCUGACGUCCCGCUGCUCUCCUUCCACGACGACCUCCUUCGGCUUGUUCCUGUCCAGCUUGUCGCCGGUCCUGUCGUCGGCGAGAUGCUUGUCGAGGAUGUGGCCGUGGACUGCGCUCCUGGCCCGGCCGAGUUGCGCCGGAGGCUGCGUUUCAAGCGCAUGCCGUGCCUUAUACAGACCCAGGUGCGCCUUGCCUGGCCAAUGUCUGCUGCUGCUUCUGCUGCUUCUUCGUUGUUGGAGGCAUUGGAGGAGGGGCCUGCUAGUUCGUUACAGCCUGAGGUGGGUGGACCAUUAGUCCAGCCUUACCUCCAGGCCAUGGUUGCCGGCCUUGCACUCAUCGACUCAUCGGUGGAGGAGAAUGCUCGGUCAGGUGCAAGGCCGAGGUGCCUCUGCGCUGGCAUUGGUGGUGGAGCUCUUCCAAUGUCCAUCAGGGUGGGACUUGGCUUCGAUGUACUGGGCGUCGAGUCUGAUUGUGUUGUCCUAGACGUCGCAAGGAACUAUUUUGGACUGGUGGAGGAUGAGUUCCUUCAUGUACGUGUUGGCGAUGCUAUUCAAAUGAUUCAGGAUUUUGCACAUGGAGAUGAGCCUGAUUCGAAAUUCAGUGCAAUUAUGGUGGAUCUUGACUCCCCUGAUGCAAUGUGUGGUGUCAGUGCGCCGCCAUUGGAGAUGACCCAUAGAAGCAUCCUUCUUGCUGCACGCAGAAUUCUACAUCAUGAUGGAGUGCUGGUACUGAAUGUAAUCCCUCCUGCUGCUGAUGCAUCCUUCUACAAAGGGCUGAUUGAUGUUCUUCACCAGGUUUUCUCUGAGUUAUAUGAGAUAGAUGUUGGUAAUGGUGAAAAUUUUGUUCUUGUUGCCAGAGUGUCACCGACUGAAAGCACCCUUCUUGAUAGUUCAAGGCUCUUUCGGACGGAAUUGAGGAAAUUAACUGGGGAUUUUUUGGAACGUAUAAGAAAAGUUGAAAUUCCAAGUUAG
rnacentral:rRNA from 1 species